CGCUAAGCCCGCUGCAGCCCCUCACAAGCCUGAACGGCUCAGGAAGCGCUUUCCCCACAGGAUGCUGGGGAACAGAAGGUGUUUCUCCUCGAUUCCUGCAGGGAAUACGUGUGCGCGGUACACAUACCGUCCAAACGGGGGCGGCUCACAACCCGUCCGGAUGUCCCAACCAGAGUUAAAGUGGGCUUGCCGAGGCAGCUCUGGGGAGUUGCUCCGGGCGGCGAUGGAUUCAGCCAGGUUAUAACGCUCUGGCACGGCUUUUUCCCAUUGAGAACACUCAGGGAGGAAGACAAGAUCCGAUGGAGCAUUGCGGCUGGAGAGGCGUGGAGGCGGGAGGAGCGGAGACACCCAGUACAGGGAGCCCUCCACAUCCCAAAGGAAGAAGUUGCAUUCCUUUUUUCCUUUGUUUCUCUUUUGGGAAAUCCUGUUAGUGCUCUUUUCCUCACGGUUUCCACUUCUUUGUCUUCCUGGGAGAGUUACUCAGUGUUAACUUUCAGCUCUCUAAUUUGGUCAUCAACGGUGUCAUUCCUUCUAUCGGAAUAUUUUAUUUUAUUUUAUUUUAUUUUUGGCUGCAUUGGGUCUUCAUUGCUGCGCUGGACUUUCUCUAGUUGCCACUAGAGGGGGCUACUCUUCCUUGCGGUGCGCGGGCUUCUCGUUGCAGUGGCUUCUCUUGUUGUGGAGCGCGGGCUCUAGGCGCUCAGGCUUCAGUAGUUGCAACACGCAGGCUCAGUAGUUAUGGCACGCGGGCCCUAGAGCAUGCAGGCCUCAGUAGUUGCGGUGUGCAGACCCUAGAGUACGCAGGCUUAAGUAGUUGUGGCGCGCAGGCUCAGUAGUUAUGGCACACGGGCUUAGUUGCUCCGCAGCAUGUGGGAUCUUCCUGGACCAGGGAUUGAACCCGUGUCCCCUGCAUUGGGAGGCGUAUUCUUAACCACUGAGCCACCAGGGAACCAGAAUAUUUUCUUAAUUCAGGCAACAGAAUUUUUAAAUUUCAAGAAUUCCCAUGACUUCUUUUCAAAUUAGCCUCUAGUAUUCUCCAGGUUAGUUAGUUAGCUAUGUCCCUAGUCUGUUGUUAGUGGCAACAAAGACACUGCUCCCAGAAGGCUUCUGGAGUGAGCAUUGACCUUGGCAGCAACCUAGAGGAGACUCCCUGAUUUGACAUUGCAACCCGUGCAGGGAUACGGCACUGAAGCUGUCACUGCAGAGAAUGGACAGCUAAUGGUGUUGAAGUGAGCGAAACUUUUGGUAUACCGCUCCCCAGCCUCUCUGAGAUCCGGAUGUGAGGAAGUACUGCAAGCGCUCAUCGCGCCCUAUGGCCUCCAGUGCAACCUGGAGCUUCUCGAUGCCUCAUGCAGUGGGCCAGAGCCCCUCCCUGGACCCCCACAAAUCCAUCUGCCAUGGCCAACAGCCUCCACCAGAUCACAGCAGCCCCAGCGCCUCCCCUCUCAGCACCACUUACGCCCCUCGUGGCCAGGCAGCUCCUCCCCGCCCUGCCCCCGACUACAUCCCCCCAUACACCCUCCCCCACCCACCACCUGCUGGCGAUCCGCUCUGGGCCCUGCAAGCCGGGCGCCCCCCCCAUGCUUAGAGAUCAGACUGCCUCUCUCACCUCCCCACACCGGGGAGUCCUCCCCCGAGCACCCUCAGAGCCAGGGGCUCUCGCCUCUUGCACCCCAGACGCAGAGUCCACCCGUCUUGCCCCCGCCCACCCGGGAGCCGGAGCCCCCUUCCUGCCACGAGCGUCCGCCACCCCCACCCCCCGCCCCGGCGGGAGCUCCCCCAACGCCUACCGCACCCGCGCCCGGGAGUCCUCCCCAUCGACCCGCGCCUGCGCCAGGAGUAGCUCCGCCUUCCUCCCGCCACACGCAGCAGCCGUUAGCCCUCGCCUCGUGUCUCGGCCCGGGGAGGGGGCCCGAGAGUCCUCCCCAUCGACCCGCGCCUGCGCCAGGAGUAGCUCCGCCUUCCUCCCGCCACACGCAGCAGCCGUUAGCCCUCGCCUCGUGUCUCGGCCCGGGGAGGGGGAGUGGCCCGCCCGUCGCGUCCUCCCCACCCCCACAGCCAGUCGUCCUCUCCUCUGGCCCCCAAAGCCGGCCCCACCCGCCCAGGAGGAAGCCCUCCGCUCAGGGCCCCCCCACGCUUAGCCAUUACCCCACCCUCUGCACCCCGACUCCAGAACACCCCCCACCAGCCACCCUGGCAGCCAGCGGUCCUCCCCUCAGACCCGCACACUGGGGGACCCUUCCCUCAGCCCCCCUUCAGCCCGCUGCCCUCCGCCGCCCCUCCCCCACUCCCCAUCGAGCAGCCCGUACCCCUCCCCCCACCCCCACUCCUUCCCAGCGCCCCCGGUACCUGCGGAGUCCAGCAGCCGGCAAAGCCCCCGCCUGUCUCCUGACUUUCUCUGACUCUGUGGAUGACGCCGGAGUCCCGCUCAGAAGGGGCUGAAGAGCUCGUCUCAGCACUGCAGCCAGGAACUGUGCAGCCCACUGUCCCAGGCACUCUGUGCGAACGCCACGUGGGUUUCCGGGUGCUCCCGGAAGCCCGAGGAAGAUGAGGGAGAAAGUUCUAGACGUCUCCUUACACAGAAAGUGGUUGGAUCAGAAGAGCACGUGAGGAGGCGCUUUGCUACGGAAGCUGCAGUAGCCACGCGCACUGAGGGCGUGAGGUCCCAAGGCUUGGCGCCUCCGGAAGCAAAAGACACGCCCAUUGGCCUUCCACCAAUAGGAAGGCCUCCCUGCAAGGCUGCGGAGUGGGAGGAGCAAACUUGCAGAUGCAGAGCCCAUGGUGGCACAUAGGUCAAUCUGUCUUUACAGGUGGGUUUGUACCGUGAUUGAUAAUGUCAGAAACCUAUUGUUUUUCCUUUUUCUUUUUUUUUAAUUUUUGAAUUUUAUUUUAUUUAUUUUUUUAUACAGCAGGUUCUUAUUAGUUAUCCAUUUUAUACAUAUUAGUGUACAUAUGUCAAUCCCAACCUCUCAGUUCAUCACAGCACCGCCCCCACCACUUUCCCACCUGGGUGUCCAUACGUUUGUGCUGUACAUCUGUGUCUCUAUUUCUGUCCUGCAAACCGGUUCAUCUGUACCAUUUUUCUAGGUUCCACAUAUGUGCAUUAAUAUACGAUAUUUGUUUCUCUCUUUCUGACUUCCUUCACUCUGUAUGACAGUCUCUAGAUCCAUCCACGUCUGUACAAAUGACCCAAUUUCAUUCCUUUGUACCGCUCAGUAAUAAAUAGUAAU